GCCCACCUGGCGGAAUUGGUAGACGCGCUGGUUUUAGGUACCAGUACCUUCGGGUGUGUGGGUUCAAGUCCCACGGUGGGCAUCA
rnacentral:tRNA from 3 species